UCCCUGGUGGUCCAGUGGUUAGGACUCUGUGCUUUCACUGCUGGGGGCACGGGUUUGAUCCCUGGUUGGGGAA
rnacentral:tRNA from 1 species